rnacentral:lncRNA from 1 species
UUCAGCUCCUGUCACUCGUCCCGUUCAAUUGGAAUUGUCCAAAAGGGAAAAUAAAAACAUAUUACAGGGGUGUUUUGGGUAAUGAAUAAUACAACUGUUCCACCGAAACCCUAAUCUUUCACUAUUUCCCCCUUAUAAAGCGCGCACUCACACCGUUCUCUCUCGCCAAAUUAUCGAAGACGCUUCACUCUGAGUUUCGGUUUGUAUUUGUUUUUAUGUCUAUGUUUUUUUAUAGUUUUAAUCUGUGUUUUGCGUUAAAAAUGGACGAAUGAUAAGCGGAGAUUGUGUGUAUCGACGUUGUGCAAUAUGAAAUCAAUGCACUUUGUUCGAAAGAGUUCUCUGCAAUAUUGAUAUUGAUUGGGGAAGGUGGGCAGUUGUGUUUCAAUUCUUCCAUUGAAUCCUUCAACAAUCAUCUUCCCCACAUUCGAAUUGUUAAUCCUUCAUUUUUUUUUUACAAAAUUUUUUAUGAAUCAUCUUUUAUUUAUUAAUCCAGAUCUUGCGUUCCAUCACGGUUUGAAUCAUUUGAUGAAGAUCCUGAUUGAUUCUAAUGUUUCGAUUAAGAACAAAAAUGUUAGUCCUUGUCUGUUUCAUCUGUAAAACGGAUUAACAUUUAAGUUAAAUUAACAAUUAAUUACAAUAAUUAAGCAAGAUGUUCCUGAUUUGGCUGUUGAAACUUACAUUUCAUACUUUUUUAAGUUCCGUAAUUUCUUUCAAGUUUCAGAUUUGGCUAGCUAUAAGCAAAAUGUUGCAAGUGACAAUCAAAGAAAUGCCUUUAUGAUUUUGACUUUUCCUUUCUUCACUAGCAACUUGAAUAUGGAAAAGCACAGGGGAAGAAUUAGAAAAUUGAGGAUUGUUAAGAAACGGAAAAAAUGAUGAUGCCAAUUACUAACUGUCCAUCAAAAUAUUCAGAAAAAUCAAUGUCUUUGUCACAGUCGCAGAUAAGGUAUCGUGUUCUGGCUUGUUUGCAAAUAUAGAAUCAUUGUUAAACAAGUUAUGAUUGGUAAAGAGAUUUUUCAAAGCUGUUUGUUAAGAGGAGAUAUAUAAAUUCAAAAGGUUAAUAGUUGAAUAUAGGCAUCAAAUUCUCAAAUUGACAGCAAAAUGAAGUAAACAUUGCAAAUGACAAAGCUAUCAGUCACUUUGGAACUUUAGGGGGAUAAAAAUGGAGAAAUUGGAGUGAGGUUGGAAUGUAAUGGUAACCAAUAUGAUAAUUUUUUUAAAAAAUUUUAAAAUUAUAAUAGGGAUGGAUUUAAAGUAUGAUAGAUAAUAUAAAAGUGGUGUGAAUGUACAAUUUAAAUGAACAAAUGUAAUAAGAAUAACAUUAAGAUGUAAAGUGGAUGAACAUAGUACUCUCUUCGUCCAAUUUAUAUAUGUUGAUUUUGUUUUUCAUACAAAUUAAAAAAAAUUAUUUAAUGUGACUGAAAAACAAUUUUUGCAAAGAAUUUUUCUAGUUUACCCUUAUUUAAUUAUCAAUAAUUAGUAAUAAAUAAUGUGUUUUUGCCCAUGUUUUCAAGAAGAUAUGAGAUAUGUGCGUAUGUAUUUGGAUAAUUUCAAGAAGGUAAAGUAAAUCUAUACAAUUUCAAAAUUAAAUGGGA